rnacentral:lncRNA from 1 species
GGCUGCCCCCGGCCCGGCUCCCGCAGGAGAAGAACCGCGUUGCCGUCGCGGUCCCUUGGCGGAAAGUAACUUCUCACGGCUGCAAUCAGCCGGCCGACGAAAGACCCCUUUCCGGCCCAUCUGCGCCCCUACUUCGAACUAUACGGGAGUAGAAAAAGCUGCCUGCAGUUUGCCGAGUUCUAAAUAAAACUCCCAACCGACGUUACAAUCAGAGCAUUAGAUAGGAUUAUAGUAAAUGCCAAGCGCAGGAUGGGCCCAGCAGAACGGCGGCACCUGACCCACACAGCGCAGUCCAGUUAAAACGCAUCACACAGGGGCCGGCUUUAAAGGUCCUUUAAAGCCAUCCAAGAAGCCUACAGCCUCGGAGCUGCCCCUGUGCUGUACGAGAAGUAAAGCAGGCGGGAGGAGGGAGUCACACACACGGCACCUCCAAGGGCUGUCCGUAAGAACGGUGCACAUCCCAUAGCGAAAGUAGCUUUAUCUGCCAUACGAAUUGCUCUGUCUGCACGGCAGCUUCUUGCUCUCUUGAGUGACACUUGAGGACGCUGCAUGAACCUUUCUUUCACAACUCGAUUCAGAGGAAAGUUAAACAGACUUCUGGCCAGGAAAUUACAAUGUGUCUAAAAUUGAGAGCAACAAGCAUGUCUACUGUGGUAACGUCUAAAAAUACGUAUCACUUUGCAGUACAUAUAUGGGAAGUCUUUCAUAAGAUACUUGGCCCACUACUUUAUUACCUAGAGAGAAGAUGGGAAAAAAAAGAGAGCACUUUUAUUUAACUGUAAGGCAAGAGCUUUGAACUGGAGCUGUUUUAUGUAAGAAAAACAAACCAAAAAGAAAUCUUCAACAAAAUAAGGAUAUUACUUGGCUGGACUUAGGA